rnacentral:rRNA from 1 species
UAAUACGUAGGGGCCAAGCGUUGUCCGGAUUUAUUGGGCGUAAAGAGCUCGUAGGCGGUUCGGCAAGUCGACGGUGAAAUCUCCACGCUCAACGUGGAGGGGUCCGUCGGUACUGCCGUGACUCGAGUCCGGUAGGGGAGAAUGGAAUUCCCGGUGUAGCGGUGAAAUGCGCAGAGAUCGGGAGGAACACCCGUAGCGAAGGCGGUUCUCUGGGCCGGUACUGACGCUGAGGAGCGAAAGCGUGGGGAGCAAACAGGAUUAGAUACCCUGGUAGUCCACGCCGUAAACGUUGGGCACUAGGUGUGGGGUUCUAUCAACGGACUCCGUGCCGUAGCUAACGCAUUAAGUGCCCCGCCUGGGGAGUACGGCCGCAAGGCUA